AGUGAACGCUGGCGGCAGGCCUAAUACAUGCAAGUCGAACGGCAGCACAGCAGAGCUUGCUCUGUGGGUGGCGAGUGGCGGACGGGUGAGGAAUACGUGGGAAUCUGCCCAGUCGUGGGGAUAACGUAGGGAAACUUACGCUAAUACCGCAUGCGCCCUUCGGGGAAAGCCGGGGGACCUUCGGGCCUGGCGCGAUUGGAUGAGCCCACGUCGGAUUAGCUAGUUGGCGGGGUAAAGCCCACCAAGGCGACGAUCCGUAGCUGGUCUGAGAGGAUGAUCAGCCACACUGGAACUGAGACACGGUCCAGACUCCUACGGGAGGCAGCAGUAGGGAAUAUUGGACAAUGGGCGCAAGCCUGAUCCAGCCAUGCCGCGUGAGUG
rnacentral:rRNA from 1 species